CAGGCAGAGUAAAUCAGGAUGCUUCCAGAUGGCAAAGGGGGAAGGUUCUCAUGGGAAGACAGCCAUCCAGCCACACGCUCCAGAAAGCCGCCUGCUGUUGCGCAGUACAGGAAGCCACCGCACCGUGUGUGCUCCAGGCACGUCUCACCAACAACCCGUGCUUCUCCUGAGCUCCCAUCCUGCCCUAAGGAGCUUUAACCAACAGCAUCUCCCAGCCCAAGCAGGACUGGAAGAAGAAGUGGAAAAAUGUAGGGUCACUGCUUUAGAGGGUUUGCAGGUGGGAUACAGCAGAAGCAGGGGGGGCUGCUUGAGUGCAUCCCAUUUAGAAACAGCACAGCGGAGAAGAGGAAACCACAGCAGCAUUUGCAGAAACGUUUCAUCCCUGUAAUCAGCAUGGGCAGAGAACAAGAAAAUCAACUCGGAAGUGUCCUCCAGGAAACCAACAUUGGCAAAAUGCAGCAGAGCAACACUUAAUCUCAGCUGUACCGCUUCAUUCUUAUGUUGCAUCACGCACUCCUGCAGGCUGCAGUGACGUCUGGCGAUGUGAUGGG
ensembl:lncRNA